rnacentral:rRNA from 1 species
AACGAACGCUGGCGGCAUGCCUAACACAUGCAAGUCGAACGAGACCUUCGGGUCUAGUGGCGCACGGGUGCGUAACGCGUGGGAAUCUGCCCUUGGGUUCGGAAUAACAGUGAGAAAUUACUGCUAAUACCGGAUGAUGUCUUCGGACCAAAGAUUUAUCGCCCAGGGAUGAGCCCGCGUAGGAUUAGCUAGUUGGUGGGGUAAUGGCCUACCAAGGCGACGAUCCUUAGCUGGUCUGAGAGGAUGAUCAGCCACACUGGGACUGAGACACGGCCCAGACUACUACGGGAGGCAGCAGUGGGGAAUAUUGGAAAAUGGGCGCAAGCCUGAUCCAGCAAUGCCGCGUGAGUGAUCAAGGCCUUAGGGUUGUAAAGCUCUUUUACCCGGGAUGAUAAUGACAGUACCGGGAGAAUAAGCUCCGGCUAACUCCGUG